GCCCCGGUAGCUCAGCCUGGUCAGAGCGCCUCACUGGUAAUGAGGAGGUCCCGGGUUCAAAUCCCGGCCGGGGCU
rnacentral:tRNA from 1 species